rnacentral:lncRNA from 1 species
GGGGAAGUAGAUAUAUUGGGCCCAUAAGCCUUAUUGUGAUUAAAAGCUUCACCACAUAUGGUGAAAUUCUAGAGUUACCCAUAUCGCUGUUAUUAGCAUAUAAAUGCUCUUAUCUGCCAGAGUUGGACAUAAUCAUGAAAUAUGCCAUCAUUUCAGGAUGAAGUUUUGAGCUGCCUGGGGUCCCAUAACAUUAUGAGAAUGAAGUAGCAAUACUAUUGUCGUGGUUGAAGAAGCACAUUCAUUAUCAAUUUGGAGCCCCAGAUGGGAAUACAGUAAAGGGAUGUACAUGCUGAUUGUAAACUGUACCUCAAUUAUAUCUGAAAGCAAGAAUGAAGAGCUGGUGGAUGUAGAGAUACUUGGGAACCUCCCUUCUUAUAAAAAUACGAAGCAGAGAGAAUACCUUUUCCUCUAAGCAGUCUAUCAAAAUGACACCAAUUUUUAUGGAUUUACUGGUAUACAGAGUUGAUAGAUAAGCCUGUUAAAGUUCAUUCAGUGAAUUAUCAGUACUGAUUAGGAAUGUUGAAAAUGUAGCAGAAAGGGUGUAUUUUUUUAACAGUACACAUUCUCCUUGGGUCACCUUGAGUCA